rnacentral:sRNA from 1 species
UCGCAUUAGUGAUUGAACGGUCUGUUUGAGCUCUUUUUAUGUUGUUGCACAUAUGCAACAUAAAAAAGCGAGUAGUGAAAGCACGACGCAAC